UCCAUAAUGCCGCCGUUGCUUGGUCCCAAGCCCAAGAUGCAAAAGGCAGAGGGUGGU
rnacentral:ribozyme from 2 species